AAUGAACGUUGGCGGCGUGGAUUAGGCAUGCGAGUCGUGCGAGAACCGUAGCAAUACGGGGACAGCGGCGAAAGGGAGAGGAACACGUGGAUACCUACCCUCAGGUUCAGGAUAGCUAUGGGAAACUAUAGGUAAUACUGAAUAAUAUCUCCGGAUCAAAGGUGUGAUUCCGCCGGAGGAGGGGUCCGCGUCCUAUUAGCUAGUUGGUGAGGUAAUGGCUCACCAAGGCGAAGAUGGGUACGGGAUGUGAGAGCAUGAUCCCGCUCAUUGGGACUGAGACACUGCCCAGACACCUACGGGUGGCUGCGGUCGAGAAUCUUCGGCAAUGGGGGAAACCCUGACCGAGCGACGCCGCGUGUGAGAUGAAGGCC
rnacentral:rRNA from 1 species